GGGGGGAGGAGAUCGAGAGAAUGUAUCCAACAGACCAGAUGCUGAGCCACCUGGAUCGCGACCCCGUCGAACGCAAGGGGUCACGGCCGGCGCAGUCAAGCGUGCUGGCAGAGGCACGGACGCAGGGAGAAAGGAAACGCAGCCAGAACACGUCAGCGUCCCCGAGCCCUUCCGCGGUCUGACGGGAGACCGUCCGCCCUCCGGGGGGAACCCGUUCGGGAGAUAACGGAAGACAACGUUAAGCAACGGCUGCUGAGUAUCUGAGUGGGGGGAUCUGCUACUUGAAUCCAUCACUCUUGUCAGCCCCGGCCCGAGUUGGUUCACAUCUGCUUGUUAAACGAGGCUCUUUGAUUCCAUUUGCGGAGCGCGGAGCAGAAUAAACUUUCCCUUUUACCUCAUUAUGCGAUCUGACCACUUGAGCAUUGUAAAUUCUGGAGAAUUAAUUGGAAGAAAAGGCCGGGUUUUACGAGUCCUCGCAGAUCGGGGACGCUCUCUGAGCGUAACUCGUGACAUUGUUACUCCUUUUGUUCCGCACUAAGAGACAUUUUACCGCCAUUGUUUGUAUUUUUCUAUUAUUCUGCUUUUGGCCUCAGAUUCAUAACAGUGUAGGCAAAAUUAAUCAUAAAAUUACACUGAUGAAAGGCCAUUUGACAAAUUGAAAGAGUAAGACGUUGGAGAAGUGCAAUGAAUUUGUUCAGACAUUGUUAUAUAAAAUGUCAAUUACCAGAUUUUUGUUUUAACAUGUUUUUUUUUUUUUGUUGUAGUGCACGCUGGCUAUAUUAAUACUGGAGCUAUAUUAUAAUUAAUAUGGCACAUCUUGGAGACAUGCCAAGCAGAAGUAGGAUGUUUAUAUCUAAGGUGGAUUUAAUCGCAGCCUGCAUUAUCUGCCGAGCUUGCUAGCUUUGCCGCUGGACUGCUUCAGCUAAGGCUAAACAAAUAAAUGAGAAAAUAAACAGUG